CUCGUCGUAAAACCCAUACAUUCCUCGCUCCACUCGGAAUCUAAAAUAGAUACGAAUUUCCCUCGUCCUUCGUUGAUGCGGUUGAAGAAGGGUUUUUUUCUUUUGUUUGUUAUCGUUUAUAUGCACAAUUGAAAAUCGUUUGUUGAGCUUCUGGAAUAAUCUCGGAACAUAACCUUUUCGACUCCUGGUCCGACCGUUGCACGUUGUUGACCGGUGUGCGGUUCGACCUUUCC